rnacentral:lncRNA from 1 species
AUGGGCGCUUCCCUCCUGGUACUCUACACCGUUGGCAGGUCUCCCCUCCUCCCCCUCAGGCCUCCUGCUCUUGCUCCCCGCUGGCCCUGGGUCACAGGUUUAAAGCUGGAAGAAGCUCAUCUUGAAGAUAAGGAAACAGAGUGGUGUGGUAGUGGGUGCUCCGGCCAUCUUGGGAGAAUGGACGCCUCCCUCUCUGGGGAGCCCCGAGAAAGGACGUGGUCCAAUGGAAGCCAGUUGCGUUGUAGAAGCCGCCUGGUGAAGGUCCAGACACGUUGUCUGGCCUUUGUGCCCUCCCUUUCAGUCCUCCAUCCGAGAACCUUCCUCUUCCAACUGUUGAGCUCUCAGAGGGCCCUAUACCAAAAAUAA